CGGGCUCAUAACCCGAAGGUCACUGGUUCGAGUCCAGUUCCCGCUACUA
rnacentral:tRNA from 1 species